AUACAGUGUGUUUCCUUGGGAGCUGUUUCAUUUGGGAUGAUGGAGGGAGCUCCUGCACGGCACAGAAGGAGGUUGGCCUUGCUGAUCUCAGAGCCCCUUCCCAGCCUACUCACAAGGCUGUUCCCCACAAUGUGACCCCCAUGCUCACUACCGCUCGGCCUUCUUUCCCAGGAGAACAUCGAGCUGGCGUUUGACGACUUGGAACCCCCGACGGAUGACUCUGUGGCUGCUGUGGACCAGGCCUCCCAUCAGUCCCUGGUCCGCUCGCUGGCCCGCACAGACGAGGCGAGGGGCCUGCUCUGGCUAUUGGAAGAGGAGGCUCUGGUGCCAGGGGCC
rnacentral:lncRNA from 10 species